rnacentral:lncRNA from 1 species
UCAUCAGCUUAUACAUUGGAUUAUCCUCUUGUUUCCUCGAAAAUUACUUCCAUGCAAAAUGAGGACAUAAUUAAGCCAGUUACAGAGGCUGAGAUUGAAACUGCUUUUAGAAGUUUACUCCCUGUCAAAGCUCCUAAUCCUGAUAGAUUCCCUACAUUUUUUCUUUCACCACUUUUGGUCGAUUAUCAAAUAUGAUGUUAUGUUAGCCAUUCAAUCAUUCUUUUGUCAUGCUUUAGUGCCUCAA